rnacentral:tRNA from 1 species
GUCGGUUUGCCGAGUGGUUAGGCGCUGGUCUGCAAAACCAGUUACAGCGGUUCGAACCGAGCUCCCCGGCA